AGAGUUUGAUUCUGGCUCAGAUUGAACGCUGGCGGCGUGCUUAACACAUGCAAGUCGAACGUGAAAGUCCUUCGGGACGAGUAAAGUGGCGCACGGGUGAGUAACGCGUGGAUAAUCUACCCUUAAGAUGGGGAUAACGGCUGGAAACGGUCGCUAAUACCGAAUACGCUCCCGAUUUUAUCAUUGGGGGGAAAGAUGGCCUCUGCUUGCAAGCUAUCGCUUAAGGAUGAGUCCGCGUCCCAUUAGCUAGUUGGUGGGGUAACGGCCCACCAAGGCAACGAUGGGUAGCCGGUCUGAGAGGAUGACCGGCCACACUGGAACUGGAACACGGUCCAGACUCCUACGGGAGGCAGCAGUGGGGAAUAUUGCGCAAUGGGCGAAAGCCUGACGCAGCGACGCCGCGUGAGGGAUGAAGGUUCUCGGAUCGUAAACCUCUGUCAGGGGGGAAGAAACCCCCUCGUGUGAAUAAUGCGAGGGCUUGACGGUACCCCCAAAGGAAGCACCGGCUAACUCCGUGCCAGCAGCCGCGGUAAUACGGAGGGUGCAAGCGUUAAUCGGAAUCACUGGGCGUAAAGCGCACGUAGGCGGCUUGGUAAGUCAGGGGUGAAAUCCCACAGCCCAACUGUGGAACUGCCUUUGAUACUGCCAGGCUUGAGUACCGGAGAGGGUGGCGGAAUUCCAGGUGUAGGAGUGAAAUCCGUAGAUAUCUGGAGGAACACCGGUGGCGAAGGCGGCCACCUGGACGGUAACUGACGCUGAGGUGCGAAAGCGUGGGUAGCAAACAGGAUUAGAUACCCUGGUAGUCCACGCUGUAAACGAUGGGUGCUGGGUGCUGGGAUGUAUGUCUCGGUGCCGUAGCUAACGCGAUAAGCACCCCGCCUGGGGAGUACGGUCGCAAGGCUGAAACUCAAAGAAAUUGACGGGGGCCCGCACAAGCGGUGGAGUAUGUGGUUUAAUUCGAUGCAACGCGAAGAACCUUACCCAGGCUUGACAUCUAGGGAACCCUUCGGAAAUGAAGG
rnacentral:rRNA from 1 species